AGUUGGUGGAGUGAUUUGUCUGGUUAAUUCCGUUAACGAACGAGACCUUAGCCUGCUAAAUAGUUGUGUUAACCUCUCCAAUCAAAACUUGAUUGAUCGGUGUUGGGACCCCCUACCCUUCGGGGCAGCGUGGGUACCCCCUUUCUUUCAGGUGGUUGGGUUGACAGAUAUACUUCUUAGAGGGACUGCCAGUGUUCAACUGGAGGAGGCUUGAGGCAAUAACAGGU
rnacentral:rRNA from 1 species